AUUGUUCAGCUGCGCUCUGUGUGCUUACGGGCAUGGGAAAGGAUAAAUGUUACAGGGGAAAAAUAUCCUUCUCCCAGUUCUGUCCAACAAGGACCUAAAGAACCAUAUAUUGAUUUUAUUGCUUGGCUCCAAGAGGCUGUAUAUAAAGCCAUAACUGAUAAAACAGCUGAGGAUGUUGCAAUACAGCUUCUUGUAUACGAUAAUGCUAAUGCAGAGUGUCAAACUGCUAUUAGAACCCUGAGAGGGAAAGUUCAUUUAGCUGAAUAUAUUAAGGCUGGCAAUGGCAUUGGAGGUAACUUACAUAAGGCUACUCUUUUAGCUCAGGCUAUGUCUGGAUUGAAAGUAGGAAAGAGUAUGCCCCAUUUCUCAGGCUCUUGCUUUAAUUGUGGGCAAUUUGGACACACAAAAAAGGAAUGUAGGAAAGGAAAUGCUCUCUAGUAAUGGAAAAGCCUCAAAAGGUUCAAAUUCAAAGAGAUAAUUUUAAAACCUUAAAUGAUUUCCAAAAAUUCAGCUGAACAACACCUGACAGGACAAAAGGAAAAUAAAAAGGCUAGACAAGAUAUAUGGUGGAGGGAUGCACAUAUAAAGAGCUGGGAAAAAAGAAAUAUAAUUAUAUGGGGAAGAGGAUUUGCUUAUGUCUCUCCAGAUGACAAUCAGGUGCCUGUGUGGCUGCUCACCAAAAAUCUGAAGAUCUAUCAUGAACCACAGCAUCUAGUGGAUCCACUUGUACAGUGCAAAUUGAAGUUUUAAGGAUUGCUUUUUUGCUAUACUGUUGCACAAGAAGGAUAAGCCUCGAUUGGCUUCCUCUAUGCCUUCUGUUAAUCAGAAAAAGCCUGCUUCUCAUUAUCAGUGGAGAUGAACAAACUGUGUGGGUGCCCUCAAGAUGUGUAUGACCAUGGAACGGGAGACUGGAGGGACCCAUGGAUCCCAACCAUGGACCAGGUUCCCCCAGUACGAGCCAUGAGCCAGUUGAAUCUGAAUGCAAAGAUGGAAUGAGGACUGACCAGAGUCACGCUGACAUCAACCCCCAUAACAUGGGGAGAGAUCAAGAAAACCACACAGGAAGCUGAGAAACUGCUGGAGCGCCAGGGUUUUACCUUUUGCUGGGAUUCAGAGGUACAGUAGAUGCUUAACGGACCAACGCUUUCUGACUGAACUCCUCUCUACCCUGAAUAAAAGAGACCCUAAUAGCUAGGCUGGAAUAUCAUUGCCCCUAUUCAGCAUGAAAAAGUUACAGAAGACGGGCCUUCAUCCUUCUGCAACCCUUAGAAUUAAGGGUCCUCUUGUGAAAGGGAAAGGGGAAAUAUGUAAGAAGCAUUCAAACCAGAGCAACUCCAUUUUGAAUAAGGACUAAGAAAAAUGAAGCUGGAUCACCAACUGGCAAUUAAGGGCUGCACAGCCUGCAAUUGCCUUGCUCAAUUAAUUUAAAAACAAAGAGGACCUUUUGGAUUCAAAGCUGUGUUAUGUUACUGUUAAAUGCCAUCUGGAGGGCAGAGAUGAAAAUCUCACCCUCGAUACAGUAAAGCUAAAACAGCAGGUUUUUGAAGCCUCUCAGGCUCACUUGAACCUGCUCCCUGGAACUGAUACUUUGAACAAGACAGCCAAUGGGUUGUCUGCAAUUGAUCCUCUUAAAUGGACUAAGGUCAUUGGAAGCUCUACACUUGCAGAUUUUAUUCUAAUAAUUAUGUGCUUGUGCUGUCUCCUUUUAGUCUGCAGAUGCAGGAGCUGCCACUGGAGAGAAAGCUGCCAUCGAGAACAAGCAAUGAUAGCUAUGCUGGUUUUACAAAAAAGAAAAGAGGGACAUGUUGGGAGAAAAGCUGAGUGUUGGGAGAGAAGCUGAGGCAGGGCUUGGAACAUGUCCAGGAUCCAGGGUAAAACCACUGGUGGCCUUUGGAAUGCGCCCAGACUUACUGGCUCCUUGCUUCUAGCACUCCCAUUAUCUCAAGUAGCCAUAUGUUUCAAAGAAAAUGCUAAACCAUUACAGCUGUAGUUCAUUCCUUGAUACACCACUUCCUUUUAACCCCCACAUCCUCGCCAUCUGUUUCUUUGUUUGAUCACCAAUGAAUAGCAUGGGCUCUCAGAGCUCGAGGCCUUCACGGCCUCCAUACUAGCAUUGGCCCCCUGGUCCCACUUUCUCUCUCAACUUGUCUUUUCUCAUUCCUUUGACUCCACCAGACUUCAUAGCCCCCACGGUCUGGUGUUGGGUCUGAUCACCCCAACAUCCACCACCAUGCCUGGCUAAUUUUUGUAUUUUUAAUACAGACGGGAUUUCACCAUGUUGGCCAGGCUGGUCUCGAACUCCUCCCAAAGUGCUGGGAUUACAUGUGUGAGCCACCAUGCCCAACCAUCAGUAAACCUUUAAUAUUGUCUGGGAUCCAAACAGGCCCAGCAAACAAACAGCCUUGCCAGGAAUUGUUCUUCAUGGGUGGGGAUUUGUGGAUGCAGUGCCAAGACUCUCAAAUGGAAAAGAGUAAGGACUUAGAGAGCAAGAUUAGAAGGCAGAAGAUGUGGCACUUCACUAGCCAUGCAACCUUGAACAAAUUAUUUCACCUCUUUUUUAUUUUGAGACAAAGUCUCUCCUCUCUAUCACCCAGGCUGGAGUGCCGUGGCACUAUCUCAGCUCACUGCAACCUCUGCCUCCCAAGUCCAAGUGAUUCUCAUGCCUCAGCCUCCAAGUAGGUGGGAUUACAGGCAUGCACCACCAUGCCCGGCUAACUUUUGUAUUUCUAGUAGACAUGGGGUUUCACCAUGUUGCCCAGGCAAGUCUCGAACUCCUGACCUCAGGUGACCCACCCGCUUUGACCUCCUAAUGUGCUGGUACUACAGGCAUGAUCCACCAUGCCUGGCCUCAUUUCACCUCUUAAACUUGGGUUUUCUUGUGAGGCACUUACACUUGAUUUAUAAGAUUCCUCUCAGUUUUAAAAUUCCAUAAAAUUCCAGAAGCACUAUCUGGGAGAAUUAGUGAGUCCCCUGGGAGAAGUAGUGAGUCCCCUGUCUCUGGAAGCAUUCAAGCAGAGUGAGAAUAGUCCGUUGUCUGAUCUGCUGUAGACAAAAUUCGUACAUUAGGUAGGAGGUUAAUAUUUGAUUUGAAUAAUUAAGUCAAUAAUAAAAAAUAGCAUUGAGUAUGUAAUAUGUGCCCAGCCCUGUUCUAAGCAUUUACACGUCUCAUUUAUUUGAUCCUUUCAGUAAUUGCAAGGGGGGUGGGGGGUAGAUACUAUCCCUAUUGUACAGAGGAUAGUCUGAUCAGAGGCAGCACUAACCAGAGAUCUCACAGCUAGGGAGAGAUGGAGAUUGGAAAUCAGAUUGCUGUGGCCCCCACCAAGUCCUAAUCCCCACCCAAUUCUGUCAGCAGACUCCGGGCUCUGGGGUGGGCGUGUCUUCCCACUGGCCUGGGAUCUGGGU
rnacentral:lncRNA from 10 species